rnacentral:rRNA from 1 species
CUUUACUAUAGCGUGUUAUUGAGUUUAUGUUUAUUUUGCUUAGUAUAGGUGGGAGACUUUGAUAUCAGAAUUUUGGUUCUGAUGGAGUCACAAUGUGAAAUACCACCCUAAGUAGAUGUGAAUUCUAACCAGACCUUAACCUAGUCUGGGACAGUGACUCGUGGGUAGUUUAACUGGGGCGGUUGCCUCCUAAAUGGUAACGGAGGCGUUUAUUAAGGUAUGCUAGACACGGAUGGAAAUCGUGUCGAUAGUACAAACGCAGAAGCAUGCUUGACUGCAAGGCUGGCGAGCCGCGCAGGUACGAAAGUAGAAGUUAGUGAUCCGAUGCGUUCGAGUGGAAGACGCAAAGCCCAACGGAUAAAAGUUA